GGACUCUGGAGAAUCCCAUUAGGUUGGGUGCCGAAGGUGCAAGGCGGUCAUGCCGCCGAAUCUCUCAGGCAAAAGGACAGAGCGA
rnacentral:ncRNA from 1 species